UACAGAGGUCGCAAGCGUUGUUCGGAUUCAUUGGGCGUAAAGGGUGUGUAGGUGGCGCUGUAAGUCGGGUGUGAAAUCUCGGGGCUUAACUCCGAAACUGCAUUCGAUACUGCGGUGCUUGAGGACUGGAGAGGAGACUGGAAUUCAUGGUGUAGCAGUGAAAUGCGUAGAGAUCAUGAGGAAGACCAGUGGCGAAGGCGGGUCUCUGGACAGUUCCUGACACUGAGACACGAAAGCCAGGGGAGCAAACGGG
rnacentral:rRNA from 1 species